CACGAAUAGAAAUCUACUACCUGUUAUAUCAACCCGUAACAUUGUUUGAGGGUUCAUUAUGUUCUUGCAAACAUUCCAGACACUGGAAUUUUCUAAAGACAGGUCAAGGCUGAUGGAGCCCUGUAAGUUGCCUGUUGACUUUCCCUCAUCCAGAGAGCACUGUCAGGAACAAGCGUUUUCAUCUUGUGAAGUUGAUUUGUCUUUGUUUCCAAGAAGCAUGUCCAGACUCGAUUUGCAAAGCACUGAAGGAGUUUUGUUUAGAGACCUACACUGCAAUGCCGAACCAGGAAGACAGGCAUCUGCCUGAAGCUAGCAGACGAAAUGCUGGGCAGAAGAGGAAUUAAUUCUGUGCCUAUUGUUCUUAAGACCGAUGACCUAGUCUCCACUUUGAAACCACCUCACAUGCUACUGAAAAUGCAUGAGACCAAGGACACAUGCUUAUUUUAUUGGAUUCCUUAAAACGCUGCUUCUCUCAUUUGCCUUUCUUUUAACCCCUGGGGAAUUACAUUCAGAGGGGGGAGUUUUAGUGUGGAACUGCUUUUGCCUUCUGUGUCUUUCAAGCAGCUGGCGAUUUCUGCUCUUUAAUUGUAGCUCCCUUCUAGCAAGCAUCUCCUCAUCCUUGGGUGUUUUAGAAAGUCAGGAGCUGUUCAGGGUAGCUUUAGUUAUUGAUCUCCAAGGUUUUGGAUCAUGCAUACAAAAGCUGUUAUUGUGCUUUACAAAAGUUAGUGAAAAUUUUCAAGCUCAUUAUGAAUCAAGGACAAUCGUGGUUGGCGGCUGGCAUUUGGGCUCACUCAUAUGCUGCCUGCUUUGUGCUGUGGGCAAAAAAAUUUAAGUCACUGAGGUGGAAAUUACACAUGCAGAACUGCAGCUUUCAGACACUUCCCACCUGCCCUUUCAUUUUGUUGAGCCAUUGGGAAAACGUCUUGAGGGAAUGAAGAUCUAGAGUCAGUUACAGAUGACAGAUUUAUCUACUCACAAUCUAUUAAAUGUCUUUCUUGUAAUCAGAGCUUUAAAAUAUGAUGCCAAGAGGACUAGAUGGGCAGUUCAAUCACCCUCACGGUGCACAUGCACAAACUCCUGUCAACUCUAACUCUGUGUUGUAGCACAUUAUUUCUGUCUCUUCUGCCCAUUAUUUUGUCUUGAAAUGUUAACAUAGCAGCAUAGCACUCAGUGAAUUAACAAAUAAGUCUGGAGAGGUAGGCUUCUUUUUUGUCUUUAGGUAAUUUCAAUGAAUUGUAAGAGUUUUACUUUGAGACAGAGUCAUGACUGUUGUUUUAUAUGAGAAAAAACUUACUUUAUAGAGUUGAUAAUUGAGAUCCAGUAAUAAAUAGUUUCAGUUGGGCAGUUUUAGUACAUACCUUUAGUACAUACCUUUAACAAACCAACUAACUAGCUAGCUAGCUAGCUAACUAACUAAUAUUGAGCUUGGAAUUAGAUUGAAGGCCUUGUGCUUACUAGGCAAGUGCUCUAUCAUUGAGCUAAACUCACAACCCUUAAACUGUUCACCUUUAACAAUAUUCUCCCAAAAAGUAGUUUAUUAGUGAAAAGGCAAUAAAAUGAUACACUACCAGAUACAAUAGUUUGUUUUGAGUACAUCUGCUUAGAACCAAACCAAAGCAACCAACCAAACGGAAAACCCUUGAUGUCACUAUGCUUCAGUUGAGGUCUACUUUAUGUUUCCCUUCAAAAAUCUAGUUUUCCAUUGGAAAGUCAUGUCUAAAGAUAUGUCAUUUCAAGAUUCUUUUGGAAAAAUAUGGUAUAUAAAUGAUGUUUCAGUAUAUAUGUAUACAUAUAUAUAUGCAUAUAUCCACAUACACACAGUGAAAUGAUUAUUACCUUCAAGAAUUUGAACACAUCAGUUAUUUCUUUAGAGUUAUAUCCAUUACAUUACAUUAUAUCCAUUGCAGUUAUGUGAUGAUUUUGAGUGGGGUUUUCUGUAAGCCCUAAAAUCUGUAGGGAGUAUAGAAAAUACAGUUCUGUGAAAAUGAAAGAAUUUCGGCUGUAGAACGAUCAGCUGUUUUGAUGGUUAUGCAUGGAUAAAAGGGUGAGAAAUGCAGGUAGACCACUCCCAAGGUGUGGCAACUGCUUAAUUCCACGAGGAAGAAGACCCCGAAAGUGAGGUUUUUCCUUUUGUUUUGGUUUGUUUUUGGUCUUUUGUUUGAUUGUUUGUUUCACAAGUCCUUUUGUUCAGUUAUCAAGCUAUAAAAAAUUUCCAAACUUUUAACUGUUGCCUAAACAGGUCUCCAUUUCCCCCCACAUCAUUAACAUUACUUUUAUUUCACUGCACAAAAGACAACAGUUAAUAAAUUAUUGAAGAGUCCGUGCAGGAAGGAUCUUACCUGAAAGUCUAGAGCACUCUGAUCAUGUGAUUGCUUUGCCAUGGCUCGUCUUGCCAUUCAGUACAAUGUGAAUUACAUGUAGGGAUCUCAGAACCACGAGUCA
rnacentral:sRNA from 1 species